rnacentral:snRNA from 1 species
CUGGCAGGGGAGAUACCAUGAUCACGAAGGUGGUUUUCCCAGGGCGAGGCUUAUCUAUUGCACUCCGGAUGUGCUGACCCCUGCGAUUUCCCCAAAUGUGGGAAACUCGACUGCAUAAUUUGUGGUAGUGGGGGACUGCGUUCGCGCUUUCCCCUGG